rnacentral:rRNA from 1 species
GGCCUACGGGAGGCUGCAGUGGGGAAUAUUGGACAAUGGGCGAAAGCCUGAUCCAGCAAUGCCGCGUGAGUGAUGAAGGCCUUAGGGUUGUAAAGCUCUUUUACCAGGGAUGAUAAUGACAGUACCUGGAGAAUAAGCUCCGGCUAACUCCGUGCCAGCAGCCGCGGUAAUACGGAGGGAGCUAGCGUUGUUCGGAAUUACUGGGCGUAAUGCGCACGUAGGCGGCUACUCAAGGCAGAGGUGAAAGCCCGGGGCUCAACCCCGGAACUGCCGUUGAAACUAGGUAGCUAGAAUCUUGGAGAGGGCAGUGGAAUUCCGGGUGUAGAGGUGAAAUUCGUAGAUAUUCGGGAGAACACCAGUGGCGAAGGCGACUGACUGGACAAGCAUUGACGCUGAGGUGCGAAAGCGUGGGGAGCAAACAGGAUUAGAUACCCGUGUCGUCC